AUCCUCAGCAAAGCCAGUUGCGAAGCUGCGGCCUGACGAGUGACAGAGAUGACGAUGUACCAUUCAGCUGCAGACAUGCAGGCUCGGGCUCUAUGAGAACUAAGGUUCAAGUCUGAGUUCUGAGGCCGGGAAGCUCCUACACUGUAGUUCAGUUGCUGAGGUUUUGUCUUUUACUGUCUUAUUGUAAAGCUAAGUGAGGACCCCCAAGACUUGGAGUCUGAAAGUAACCCCAGUGACCCUGUCCCCAAGAUAAUUUUGAUUGGUAAACAAAUUUGAUGUCAACAGCCAACAGCUGGGCAGAAGAGACAUAGGUCUCUGCAACCACUGCCCUUGUGGACUGUACUGGCAGAUACAUAAAAGUUGGGAGACCCACAAAUGUGUGGUUACAUAGGACACAAUCAUUUUUAUUCAAGUGGUUUCAAUCAUUGUCAAAAUGCACUAAAAGACUUCAGAAAGCAAACAUGAAGGGACGGUAUACAACAUGAAACUUGAGGCGCAAAACCCUGAUGGCUGAGAAACAAAAUUAGGCGCUCUUCCCAGCCCACUCUCCUCCCAGACUUCGUAAGGUUUAGAAAAUUUACCAGCCCCAAAUGAAUGCACACCAUGCAUGCUGUGAUAAGGACUCACCGCUACUGGAAGUGUCAUCCAGGCUUAGCAGCCCUCCUAGCCCUCGGUAACUAUGGUAACUGUAGGUCCCAUUGCCAUUGAUGUACAAUACCUCCUGGGAGCCUGGAACAGUAGACGUUGAGUAGGUAGCCUGGGCUGCCUCAGGCUUGCACUGUUUGUCAGCAGGAGUACCUUCAUCCUGCAACGAGACAGCAUUCCAUCAUUGUGACAUCUCUGCACUGCUUCUUUUUGUGAACUCUCAAUGCCAGCCACAUAGUUGCUCUGGCUAAGAAAAUUCCAUAUGGUGAACAUUAAGAUCAUGUGCAUAUUUUCUUCAGCUUUGGUAAAAGCUAAUAAGUAAACAAAUAAAUACAUAAAUACAUAAAUAAUAAAGAGUGAAAGAGCAAGGCAA